rnacentral:rRNA from 1 species
GAUGAACGCUGGCGGCGUGCCUAACACAUGCAAGUCGAACGGAGACUACGCGCUGUGCGAGGAAUUAGCUUGCUAAGGAAUCAAACAUGCGUAGACUUAGUGGCGGACGGGUGAGUAACGCGUGGAUAACCUGGUCCAACCAGGGGGAUAGCAGCUGGAAACGGCUGGUAAUACCGCAUAAGCGCACAGAGCGGCAUCGCUCAGUGUGAAAAGGAGAGAUCCGGGAAGGAAUGGAUCCGCGUCUGAUUAGCCAGUUGGCGGGGUAACGGCCCACCAAAGCGACGAUCAGUAGCCGGCCUGAGAGGGCGGACGGCCACAUUGGGACUGAGACACGGCCCAGACUCC